GAUGAACGCUGGCGGCGUGCCUAACACAUGCAAGUCGAGCGAUUUACUUCGGUAAAGAGCGGCGGACGGGUGAGUAACACGUGGGUAACCUGCCCUGUACACACGGAUAACAUACUGAAAGGUAUGCUAAUACGGGAUAACAUAAGAGAGUCGCAUGGCUUUCUUAUCAAAGCUUUUGCGGUACAGGAUGGACCCGCGUCUGAUUAGCUAGUUGGUAAGGUAACGGCUUACCAAGGCGACGAUCAGUAGCCGACCUGAGAGGGUGAUCGGCCACAUUGGAACUGAGACACGGUCCAAACUCCUACGGGAGGCAGCAGUGGGGAAUAUUGCACAAUGGGCGAAAGCCUGAUGCAGCAACGCCGCGUGAGCGAUGAAGGCCUUCGGGUCGUAAAGCUCUGUCCUCAAGGAAGAUAAUGACGGUACUUGAGGAGGAAGCCCCGGCAAACUACGUGCCAGCAGCCGCCGUAA
rnacentral:rRNA from 1 species